rnacentral:pre_miRNA from 1 species
CCUCUAGAAGGAAGCACUUUCUGUGGUCUGAAAGAAAAGAAAGUGCUUCCUUUUAGAGGGUUACCGUUUGAGA